rnacentral:tRNA from 1 species
AGGGUAGUAAGGAAGCACAUUAGCCUGAAAGUUGCCGUUAAUUGAUGCGGGUUCGAGUCCCGUCCUCUCCA